rnacentral:pre_miRNA from 1 species
UUUGUUUUAGCCUGAGCUAUGAGUCAUCGGAAUAUGCAUAGCUUCUUGCUAAAACAUGCC